rnacentral:rRNA from 1 species
AUUGAACGCUGGCGGCAGGCCUAACACAUGCAAGUCGAGCGGCAGCGGGAAAGUAGCUUGCUACUUUUGCCGGCGAGCGGCGGACGGGUGAGUAAUGCCUGGGAAAUUGCCCAGUCGAGGGGGAUAACAGUUGGAAACGACUGCUAAUACCGCAUACGCCCUACGGGGGAAAGCAGGGGACCUUCGGGCCUUGCGCGAUUGGAUAUGCCCAGGUGGGAUUAGCUAGUUGGUGAGGUAAUGGCUCACCAAGGCGACGAUCCCUAGCUGGUCUGAGAGGAUGAUCAGCCACACUGGAACUGAGACACGGUCCAGACUCCUACGGGAGGCAGCAGUGGGGAAUAUUGCACAAUGGGGGAAACCCUGAUGCAGCCAUGCCGCGUGUGUGAAGAAGGCCUUCGGGUUGUAAAGCACUUUCGACCGGGACGAAAACCCGAAGGCUAACAUCCUUCGGCUUGACGGUACCGGGAGAAGAAGCACCGGCUAACUCUGUGCCAGCCGCCGCCGUAAAAC